GGGUGAUUGGCGCAAUGGUAGCGUGUGGACCUCCUAAGUCUAAGGUUGAGGGUUCGAGUCCCUUGUCGCUCG